rnacentral:rRNA from 1 species
CGUGUAGGCGGCCAAACAGGUCCGUUGUGAAAACUGGAGGCUCAACUUCCAGACGUCGACGGAAACCGUAUGGCUAGAGUCCGGAAGAGGAGAGUGGAAUUCCUGGUGUAGCGGUGAAAUGCGCAGAUAUCAGGAAGAACACCAAUGGCGAAGGCAGCUCUCUGGGACGGUACUGACGCUGAGACGCGAAAGCGUGGGGAGCGAACA